AGAGUUUGAUCCUGGCUCAGAACGAACGUUGGCGGCGUGGAUUAGGCAUGCAAGUCGUGGGAAUGCCCGCAAGGGUGGAACCGGCGUAAGGGGCAGUAAGGCAUGGGUAACCUACCCUGGGAUUUGGCAUAGCCCGUAGAGAUACGGGAUAAUUCCAAGCGAUGUAGUGUGCGGGCCUCCGCGUGCUACCAAAGCUCCGGCGUCCUGGGAGGGGCCCAUGUGGUAUUAGCUAGUUGGUGGGGUAACGGCCUACCAAGGCGAAGAUGCCUAGCGGGUGUGAGAGCAUGACCCGCGCCAUUGGCACUGAGAACUGGCCAAACACCUACGGGUGGCUGCAGUC
rnacentral:rRNA from 1 species